AGUGGGGAAUUUUGGACAAUGGGGGCAACCCUGAUCCAGCAAUGCCGCGUGUGUGAAGAAGGCCUUCGGGUUGUAAAGCACUUUUGUCCGGAAAGAAAUCGCACUUACUAAUAUUAGGUGUGGAUGACGGUACCGGAAGAAUAAGGACCGGCUAACUACGUGCCAGCAGCCGCGGUAAUACGUAGGGUCCAAGCGUUAAUCGGAAUUACUGGGCGUAAAGCGUGCGCAGGCGGUUGUGCAAGACCGAUGUGAAAUCCCCGGGCUUAACCUGGGAAUUGCAUUGGUGACUGCACGGCUAGAGUGUGUCAGAGGGGGGUAGAAUUCCACGUGUAGCAGUGAAAUGCGUAGAGAUGUGGAGGAAUACCGAUGGCGAAGGCAGCCCCCUGGGAUAACACUGACGCUCAUGCACGAAAGCGUGGGGAGCAAA
rnacentral:rRNA from 1 species